GAAAACGACAGUCUGAGAUACUCGGCCUUUGUUUUGUUUGGGCAAUUGGCUACCUUUGCUGGGCAGAAAUGGAAGAAAUUUUUCACCAGCCAGGUUAAGCAGACACGAGAGUCCCUCCUGAUCCAUUUACACGAUAGAAACCCCCGGGUUGCUAAGGCUUGCAAAGCAACUUUUCGAGCCUGUUCUCCAUAUCUGAAACUAAGGAAGGAAUACAGCUUCCAGAGUGAAGAUGAUCAAAGGAACCCUAAACUCUGCCGGCAGCUGAGCCACUAUCAUCCAGAGCUCCUGCAGUUCUUCUAUGCAAAUAAAAUUCUGUAAACG